rnacentral:rRNA from 1 species
GACAGAGGAUGCAAGCGUUAUCCGGAAUGAUUGGGCGUAAAGCGUCUGUAGGUGGUUUGACAAGUCUUUUGUCAAAGAUCAGGGCUUAACCCUGGGCCGGCAAGAGAAACUAUCAGACUAGAGUUCGGUAGGGGCAGAGGGAAUUCCCGGUGUAGUGGUGGAAUGCGUAGAGAUCGGGAGGAACACCAGUGGCGAAAGCGACCUUCUGGGCUGCACCUGACACUCUAGUGCGAAAGCGUGGGGAGCAAACAGG